AGAAAACUGAAUAAUUUCUUUCAUGAUGCUUCCUAACGACAUUGGUCGUGUUGUUAUUGCAGUCCCAUCACAACGGUUUGUGUGAAGUUUAUCUGUCUGUGCACGAGUAUGGCGACGCCCUUCCUGUUCCCUGAGCGAUUGUGGAGCCCUUUUACAUUAUAAGUAACUUUUUCAAGUGGAUCACCCAUUAUCUGAGUGGGGUAUAAGGAGUAUGGCUACAUAAUAAACAAAACCAACCAAAGAGGGAAGAAACAGAACCAAGAGAUUGCGCAAAACGACACUGAAGACAGAAAGAAAACAAGCUUGCAAACAUGGUCUGCGCAGGAUCCCCGUGGAACAGUGGGAUUAGAAUGCAAAUAACACAGAACAGGUAAGUACUACGUUUAAGUACUCAGGACAUGGUCCCUGGACGCUAAGCUAAGCAGCUAACGUGCACAACCGAGGUGGAGUAUGAAUGUGCAAUAAGUGCGCUAAGAUAUGUAUAUAAAAUAAAAACAGUUAUAAGAAGAAAGAUAACAAGAAAACUUCAAAAUAUACUACUCAGGCUCCUGCAAUCCUUAAGCCUUUCGGUUUCACGGAACAAACCUGCUGCUCAGUAUGAGGAUUUGUUGCAAAAGUUCCAUUUUAAUGCACUCAGCUGUUCCCUUAAAUAGGAAAUCUACAAGCUUGCUUAAUAAACUGAGCUUGACUACAGUGUUUAAUGUUACCGUUUAUUUUGUUCCCUCCCGUUGUGUCAGUUUCCAGGUGAUUGAGAUGAACAGCGGUGCAUGGAUCCAUGCAUUUUGCGGAUUUCAGCAUGUUUCAGCACAAAAUCCACACCCAGCUGUUCUGUUCUGACCACUGUUAAUGGGUCAGAACUUGAACUUGUUUGUGAUGUACAUAAUGACACCAGUAAUGCAGACCC